AGAGUUUGAUCCUGGCUCAGAUUGAACGCUGGCGGCAUGCCUUACACAUGCAAGUCGAACGGUAACGCGGGGGCAACCCUGGCGACGAGUGGCGAACGGGUGAGUAAUACAUCGGAACAUAUCCAGUAGCGGGGGAUAACCUAUCGAAAGAUGGACUAAUACCGCAUACGAUCUACGGAUGAAAGCAGGGGACCGCAAGGCCUUGCACUAUUGGAGUGGCCGAUGUCGGAUUAGCUAGUUGGUGAGGUAAAGGCUUACCAAGGCGACGAUCCGUAGCUGGUCUGAGAGGACGAUCAGCCACACUGGAACUGAGACACGGUCCAGACUCCUACGGGAGGCAGCAGUGGGGAAUUUUGGACAAUGGGCGCAAGCCUGAUCCAGCCAUGCCGCGUGAGUGAAGAAGGCCUUCGGGUUGUAAAGCUCUUUCGGUGAAGACGAAACGGUUAGCGCUAAUAACGCUGACUAAUGACGGUACUCACAGAAGAAGCACCGGCUAACUACGUGCCAGCAGCCGCGGUAAUACGUAGGGUGCAGGCGUUAAUCGGAAUUACUGGGCGCAAAGCGUGCGCAGGCGGUUUGCUAAGACAGGUGUGAAAUCCCCGAGCUUAACUUGGGAAUUGCGCUUGUAACUGGCAAGCUAGAGUGUGGCAGAGGGGGGUGGAAUUCCACGUGUAGCAGUGAAAUGCGUAGAUAUGUGGAGGAACACCGAUGGCGAAGGCAGCCCCCUGGGUUAACACUGACGCUCAUGCACGAAAGCGUGGGGAGCAAACAGGAUUAGGUACCCUGGUAGUCCACGCCCUAAACUAUGUCAACUAGUUGUCGGGGAAGAAAUUCCUUGGUAACGAAGCUAACGCGUGAAGUUGACCGCCUGGGGAGUACGGCCGCAAGGUUAAAACUCAAAGGAAUUGACGGGGACCCGCACAAGCGGUGGAUUAUGUGGAUUAAUUCGAUGCAACGCGAAAAACCUUACCUACCCUUGACAUGCUAGGAAGCCCGCAGAGAUGUGGGUGUGCCCGAAAGGGAACCUAGACACAGGUGCUGCAUGGCUGUCGUCAGCUCGUGUCGUGAGAUGUUGGGUUAAGUCCCGCAACGAGCGCAACCCUUGCCAUUAGUUGCUACAUUCAGUUGGGCACUCUAAUGGGACCGCCGGUGACAAACCGGAGGAAGGUGGGGAUGACGUCAAGUCCUCAUGGCCCUUAUGGGUAGGGCUUCACACGUAAUACAAUGGUCGGUACAGAGGGCUGCCAACCGCAAGGGGGAGCUAAUCCCAGAAAGCCGAUCGUAGUCCGGAUUGUAGUCUGCAACUCGACUGCAUGAAGCCGGAAUCGCUAGUAAUCGCGGAUCAGCAUGUCGCGGUGAAUACGUUCCCGGGUCUUGUACACACCGCCCGUCACACCAUGGGAGUGGGUUCCACCAGAAGUAGUUAGCCUAACCGCAAGGAGGGCGAUUACCACGGUGAGAUUCAUGACUGGGGUGAAGUCGUAACAAGGUA
rnacentral:rRNA from 1 species